AACGAACGCUGGCGGCAGGCUUAACACAUGCAAGUCGAACGCCCCGCAAGGGGAGUGGCAGACGGGUGAGUAACGCGUGGGAAUCUACCCAGAUCUUCGGAACAACCCAGGGAAACUUGGGCUAAUACCGGAUACGCCCUACGGGGGAAAGAUUUAUCGGUUCUGGAUGAGCCCGCGUUGGAUUAGCUAGUUGGUGGGGUAAUGGCCUACCAAGGCGACGAUCCAUAGCUGGUCUGAGAGGAUGAUCAGCCACACUGGGACUGAGACACGGCCCAGACUCCUACGGGAGGCAGCAGUGGGGAAUAUUGGACAAUGGGCGAAAGCCUGAUCCAGCCAUGCCGCGUGAGUGAUGAAGGCCCUAGGGUUGUAAAGCUCCUUCACCGGUGAAGAUAAUGACGGUAACCGGAGAAGAAGCCCCGGCUAACUUCGUGCCAGCCGCCGCAGUAAUAC
rnacentral:rRNA from 1 species